CCGGGAGGUUGAGUAAAUGUGGCUUCUAGAAUGUUCUCACAAUGCAGAUUCUUUUAUUCCCUCUCUCAUUAUUUCCUCGUAUGUGUAUUUUUUCCUGGAGGUUUCCAUGCUUCCCCUGUCUCUGGAUGAAAACUGGCCUAGGCCUCAAAAUUUAGGGGCCAGUCUUAGGUUAAACCCGAAGUUGCGGUUACUUUUCAAUCAUAAAACGGUGCCGUUUCAUUGAUUGAAAGAUGCAGUUGAAGAGGGUAAAGCCCUUGAGGGCAGGGAGCACACACCAGCCACCAGCCCGUGGCGGAAUCCUGCCAGCCAGCUGUAUGCCUGCUGCCCAGGUGCUGUGGGAGGCUGGAUUUUCUUCAUGUACUUCAACCAAGACAACAUUUUGACAGGCCAAGUGUUGAAGCAGCUGCCUCCAAG